rnacentral:rRNA from 1 species
UACGAGGGGGGCGAGCGUUGUUCGGAAUUAUUGGGCGUAAAGGGUGCGUAGGCGGUUCCGCAAGUCCUGUGUGAAAUCUUCGGGCUCAACUCGAAGUCUGCACGGGAAACUGCGGGGCUUGAGUGUGGGAGAGGUGACUGGAAUUCCUGGUGUAGCGGUGAAAUGCGCAGAUAUCAGGAGGAACACCGGUGGCGAAGGCGGGUCUCUGGGCAGUAACUGACGCUGAGGAGCGAAAGCGUGGGGAGCGAACAGG